GUACGGGAGGCAGCAGUGGGGGAUAUUGCGCAAUGGGCGAAAGCCUGACGCAGCGACGCCGCGUGGGUGAUGAAGGCCUUCGGGUCGUAAAGCCCUGUCGAGGGGGAAGAAACGAUCCCGACCCAACACGUCGGGGUCCUGACGGUACCCCUAAAGGAAGCACCGGCUAACUCCGUGCCAGCAGCCGCGGUAAUACGGAGGGUGCGAGCGUUGUUCGGAAUCACUGGGCGUAAAGGGCGUGUAGGCGGUCCGCUAAGUCUGAUGUGAAAGCCCGGGGCUCACCCCCGGAAGUGCAUUGGAAACUGGCGAACUCGAGUCCCGGAGAGGAGAGUGGAAUUCCUGGUGUAGCGGUGAAAUGCGUAGAUAUCAGGAGGAACACCGGUGGCGAAGGCGGCUCUCUGGACGGUGACUGACGCUGAGACGCGAAAGCGUGGGGAGCAAACAGGAUUAGAUACCCCGGUAGC
rnacentral:rRNA from 1 species